rnacentral:rRNA from 1 species
GGGAGGCAGCAGUGGGGAAUAUUGCACAAUGGGCGCAAGCCUGAUGCAGCCAUGCCGCGUGUAUGAAGGAAGGCCUUCGGGUUGUAAAGUACUUUCAGCAGUGAGGAAGGUGGGUAUGUUAAUAGCAUACUCAUUUGACCGUUAGCUGCAGAAGAAGCACCGGCUAACUCCGUGCCAGCAGCCGCGGUAAUACGGAGGGUGCGAGCGUUAAUCGGAAUUACUGGGCGUAAAGCGCAUGCAGGUGGUUUGUUAAGUCAGAUGUGAAAGCCCGGGGCUCAACCUCGGAAUUGCAUUUGUAAACUGGCAAACUAGAGUACUGUAGAGGGGGUAGAAUUUCAGGUGUAGCGGUGAAAUGCGUAGAGAUCUGAAGGAAUACCGGUGGCGAAGGCGGCCCCCUGGACAGAUACUGACACUCAGAUGCGAAAGCGUGGGGAGCAAACAGGAUUAGAUACCCUGGUAG